UAAGGAAUAUUGGUCAAUGGACGCAAGUCUGAACCAGCCAUGCCGCGUGAAGGAUGAAGGUCCUCUGGAUUGUAAACUUCUUUUAUCUGGGACGAAAACGGGAUUUUUAUCUCAAUUGACGGUACCAGAGGAAUAAGCACCGGCUAACUCCGUGCCAGCAGCCGCGGUAAUACGGAGGGUGCGAGCGUUAUCCGGAUUUACUGGGUUUAAAGGGUGCGUAGGUGGGCUUAUGAGUCAGUGGUGAAAUCUCCGAGCUUAACUUGGAAGCUGCCGUUGAUACUAUAGGUCUUGAAUUAUCUGGAGNUAAGCGGAAUAUGUCAUGUAGCGGUGAAAUGCUUAGAUAUGACAUAGAACACCAAUUGCGAAGGCAGCUUACUACAUAUAAAUUGACGCUGAGGCACGAAAGCGUGGGGAUCAAACA
rnacentral:rRNA from 1 species